rnacentral:rRNA from 1 species
CCAAUAGCGUAUAUUAAAGUUGUUGCAGUUAAAAAGCUCGUAGUUGAAUUUCGGGAUUGGCGCAUCGGUCGUGCCUUAAGGGGUAUGAACUGGUGUAGCCAAUUUCUCACCUUCUGGAGAACCGCGAUGUCCUUAAUUGGGUGCCGCGAGGAACCAGGACCUUUACUUUGAAAAAAUUAGAGUGUUUAAAGCAGGCAUUUUGCUUGAAUACAUUAGCAUGGAAUAAUAAAAUAGGACGGAUGAUUCUAUUUUGUUGGUUUCUAGGACCACCGUAAUGAUUAAUAGGGAUAGUUGGGGGCAUUAGUAUUCAAUUGUCAGAGGUGAAAUUCUUGGAUUUAUUGAAGACUAACUACUGCGAAAGCAUUUGCCAAGGAUGUUUUCAUUAAUCAAGAACGAAAGUUAGGGGAUCGAAGACGAUCAGAUACCGUCGUAGUCUUAACCAUAAACUAUGCCGACUAGGAAUCAGACGAUGUUAAUUUUUUAAUGACUCGUUUGGCACCUUACG